rnacentral:lncRNA from 1 species
AAAAAGUCCAAGGGUCAAGCUAUCUGGUUUAAGGCAUGGCUUGUUCCAGAAGAUUGAGAGAAAGAUACUAGAACCUGCUUCUCCUCUGCUCUUUUUUAGCUUCCUCCUGAAUCCAAAUGGUGAAAAAAAAUGGCUACCAAUAACCAUAGACCCAUGUUCUCCCACGUUCAAGUCUAGUGGAAGAGAGAGUAUAUUAUCUUUGUAACUCUUAUUUAAAAAAAAAAAAAGUCCUAAGCUUUGUUUUGAUUGGACAAACUGGGCUAUGUGUCCCCACUGAACCUAUGGCUACCCACAGAACCAACUUCUGUCUAGAGGAUUCUGUGCUGGGAUGUGGGUGAAGCUCGGCUCAGUCAAGAGAGUGGUUUCAGUCACCUGCACCGCUUUGCUGCCCAGAACCUCCAGGGAGGGAGCCUGACUCCACCUUGGAGAACUCCAUCAACUCAACUGCCGCUGUUAUUACUUCUGAUGGGAGAAUGAUUGUGGGAACACUGAAAGGUUUUGACCAGACCAUUAAUUCGAUUCUGGAUGAAAGCCAGGAAGGAGUGUUCAGCUCUUCACAGGGAGUAGAACAAGCAGUACUCGGGCUUGACAUUGUAAGAGGUGCAAUGUUACAGUCAUUGGAGAAAUCGAUGAAGAGACAGAUUCUGCACUUGACUUGGGGAACAUUCCAGCAAAACCUCUAACCUCUAACCUGUGUAGCACACACAGGGAAAACUACCUGCAUUGCACAGAAUCUGAAUCUGUACAGAAACCAAUUUUUCUGGGGAAGAUGUUUGGGAUUUUUAGGAUUGUGUAAUUGUGAAUUCUGACUUCACAUUGAUUUACUGGAAUACGUAAAUUAAAAUAUCUCUACGUUUUUAUUUAAAAAAUUAUUUACCUAAAUUUUUUAAAAAAGAGAGAGAGAGAGUGGUUUCCUUUUUUAAAAAAAAAAUCAGUAUCCUGAAGAGGAAGGGAGCAAUGAUGGAUCUUGGGGAUGCAAAAUCAUUAGAUGAUAUGGCAAAUGGGAAUUUAUAGGGAAAUAAGCACUGUAUCUAAUUUAAAGCAAUGAAAAAUGUUCACAGAACAACUUUUACUUCAUGUUUUCAGUCUUUUUUCUUUUGUACUGGGGAUUGAACCCAGAAGCAUUCUACCACUGAGCCACAUCCUCAGCCUGUUUUUGUAUUUUAUUUAGAGACAGGGUCUCACUGAGUUGCUUAGAGCUUUGCCAAGUUGCUGAGGCUGGCUUUGAACUCACGAUCCUCCUGCCUCAGCCUCCCAAGCCACUGGGAUUACAGGCAUGAGCCACAGCACCCAGCUUCAAUCUUCAUUGAUUUUAAAUUUUACAAAUGUAUGGGUAAGAUCUUUUAUAAUUCACUACCUACUUUAGCUCUCUUUCCAAUGCAACUAUGUUUUGAAUGAAUUCUAUCCACUCAAGGAGGGCUCAGUGUUUUAGAAUCAGUUUUGCCUACACUUUGAAGGUUUCCUUUUCUACCAGUCAAUGUCCAGUCAGGAAAACAGAAAGUACUCUAGGUGUUUGAAGCAGAGAAAAUUUAACAUAAGGAAAUGGCCGCACUGGUGAUGGAGUGAGUCACUGAGAAACCAAGCAGGAUGGUGAAGCAACUUGAAGGUGAACAACAGCAGGAAGACACCAGAGGCCCUGUGAUGGGGAACCCUGUGGUAGGCAACAUGAAUGGAGUCAGGUGGUGGAUAGAGGAGGGACUAUGCCAAGGAGCUCAAGGCCAGUGACAUCACUUGAAGUAUGGGGGCAGGGAGGGGGAGAACUAUCCCACAGUCACCCCUUGUGCCUUUGAUCCUCAGCAAGUCCUAGAAGCCCAGGUGCAAAGAAGACUGGGAAAUGUAGUUCCUGAGGGGAAAGAGCAGAGUAGAGAGCCGGUGUGUGUACAAGCCUGUAAUCCCAGCUACUGAGAGGCUGGGGCAGGAGGAGAGCAAGUUCAAAACUGGCCUUGGUGACUUAGCCAGAUCCAGUCUCAAAAUAAAAAAUAAAAAGGGCCGGGGUAUAGCGCAGUGGUAGAGCACUCACCGGGCAUGGACAUGGCCCUGGGUUUGAUCCCCACUAUCACCAACCAAAAAAAAGAAAAAGGCAGAGCAGGCAGAGGAUGAAGAGGCAGUGAAGAGGCAGUCGCUCAGCAUACCUUCCUUCCCACCCCCAUAGGCCAGGAGUUGCCAGUGUUCCAUCUUGUCCAGCUUCUGACCUUCUCCCACUGAGUAAGUCUGCCUCUCAGGGUGGGGUGUGUGUGUGUGUGUGUGUGUGUGUGUGUUUGCUUUUUUUUUUUUUUUUUUGUAGGGGGUUUGGGAUGUCAAUCUAAAAUGAAUGACAGAGCAACUCUCCAAAGAGUGUAUUCAGGAAUCACAAGGAAUCAAUUCAGGAUAUGUGAGCCGCAACAGUGGGAAGUUUUUAUGGGCAGAAAUGAGACACAAGCUGAAACAAAAACCACUGGUUGUGGGAGCUUAUCACAGAAGGUGGCUUUUGUUCAUUGGUGGUACUAUCUUUUGCUAAAAGAGGCUUAACUAGAAAUUUCUGUCUUCGGAAAGACUUUCAUGGCAGUUCCUAUUACAGGCAUACCUGUGUGAGGCCUUCAUGGCCCCCCAGCCCCAUUUUGUUAGAGUUUGACAUAAGUUACUCCAUUUUGGUACCGACAACUUGCACAGAUAUAGCUCAGUGGUAGAGUGCUUGCCUAGGCCCAGGGUUCAAUCCUCAGGGUUAGCACAAAAUGACUGAGCUGGGUGCAGACUACACGGAUCAGCAAGCCUUUAUUCAGCGGUGGAGUCAUGCAUCUGGUGGACACACUUUCUUGCUGGAAAAUGAGCAACUGGCCAAAGGAGGAAUCUGUGCUUAUACACGUUACACUGAGAGGUGACUUAAUUAUUGAAAGAGUGUGUCAGUUUGGACACUCAGGAAACAGGUGAGAAUUUGAAAUUUGUUUUGACUGGGCAAUGUUUUUACUUGAGAAAGAACAGGGGGUCUGGGGGUCAGUAUUCGGUGUAUAUCUCUUUCCUUUCAGGGUCCCAUUGUACUGUCCCCUGAUAAAGAUCUAUCUGGAGAAGGAUCAAUGCUUUGGCUUCCUCCAAGAAAUUGCCACUCUAGGCUUGAUGGGUAUCACCUUCCCAGGGAAUGUCCUGUCACUGGAAGAGUUAUCUUGAGAACAGGAACAGACAGGCCACACUAUUCUGGGGUUUGUCGUUUUCCAUAUUUUACACUCAGUACCACAAAAACAAAAGGAAAAAAAGGAGAUGAUUUUGUGCAGAACUGUAGGUCAGUACCAGUAUUCUGAGCACAUUUAAAGUAGAAUAAGCUAGAAUGUUCUCUAGGUUAAGUGUAAUAAGUGAAUUUUCAACUUAUGAGAUUUUCUAUGUACAAUGGGUUUAUUGGGAUGUGACCUCAACAUACCUCAAGGAGCAUCUAUAUCAUCAUGUGUGUGUGGGGGGGGUGCAGCAGGGGGCCAAGCAUGACAAUGGAAGGAGGUGGAAGAAGAGCCACGCUGACUCUGCAGAGCCUCCUCCAGACAGUCCUUGAACUCACUUCAGCCCUCAUUUGAGUGUGUGUUUGUUUCUGCAGCUAUAAAUUUGUAUCCUGAAACACACAGAUUUGGGUUUGGAAAUGAUCUUCAUGUCUAUCCACAGGGAAAUAGUGAAGUAAAAUGUAGUCAAUCUGGAUAAAAAAAUUUAAGGCAGUAAUUAAUGUUUUUGAAAAGACUCUGAUACCAUGGGGAAAAUGAUCAAGAUAUAACAGCAGGCGGGAGUGGUAGCUCAGUGGCAGAGCACGUGCCUAGCACAUGUGAGGCACUGGGUUUGACUCUCAGCAACACAUAAAAAUAAAUAAUUGAAAUAAAGGUCCAUCAACAACUAAAAAUAUAUACUUAAAAAAUUUUUUUUGUUUUAAUUAGUUAUGCAUGACAGUAGAAUGCACUUAUGUACUUUGAUAUAUCAUACAUAGAUGGGAUAUAAUUUCUCAUUUUUCUAAGUAUACACAUUGUAGAAUCACAUUGAUCAUACAGUCACAUACAUACAUAAAGUACUAACGUCUGUUUCAUUCUACUAUCUAAAAUAUGUAUAUAUUGGGCUAGGGAUGUGGCUCAAGCAGUAUUGCGCUCGCCUGGCAUGCAUGCGGCCCGGAUUCAAUCCUUAGCACCACAUACAAAUGAAAAUGUUGUGUCCGCCGAAAACUAAGAAAAAUAAAUAUUAAAAAUUCUUUCUCUCUCUCCCUCUCUCUCUGUCUCUCUCUCUCUUUAAAAAAAUAAAUAAAAUAAAAUAUGUACAUAUUAAAAAAUAGACUACAGGGCUGGGGAUAUAGCUCAGUUGGUAGAGUACUUGCCUUAUAUGUAUAAGACCCUGGGUUUGGGGCUGGGGAUGUGGCUCAAGCAGUAGCGCGCUCGCCUGGCAUGCGUGCAGCCCGGGUUCGAUCCUCAGCACCACAUACAAAGAUGUUGUGUCCACCCAAAACUAAAAAAAAUAAAUAAA